rnacentral:rRNA from 1 species
GACGAACGCUGGCGGCGUGCUUAACACAUGCAAGUCGAACGGUGAAUCUCCUUCCUUUUUUGUUGGUGUGGAUGAUUUGCGAACGGGUGAGUAACACGUGAGUAACCUGCCCCCUUCUUCUGGAUAGCCUCAUUAAAGUGUGGCUAAUACAGUAUCUUCUGAGUCUGUUUCAUGAUGGGUCUUUGAUUGAUAUUUUUUCUUUGGGGGCUGGGCUCUCGGCCUAUCAGCUUGUUGGUGGUGUGAUGGCAUACCAAGGCGGUGACGGGUAGCCGGCCUGAGAGGGUGGACGGUCAGAGUGGGACUGAGACACGGGACAGACUCAGAAGGGAGGCAGAAGUGGGGAAUAUUGAACAAUGGGCGCAAGCCUGAGGAAGCGAGGCCGCGUGAGGGAGGGAGGCCUUCGGUAUGUGAACCUCUUAAGCGAGUGAAGCAGGCCUGACUCGUUUGUGGGUGGGUUGACGGUAGCUGGAUAAGAAGCGCCGGCUAACUACGUG